GGAGAUGUUUUUGGCUGGCAAAGUGCCUUAUAGUUCGUGGCUAGACCAUAUAGAAGGCUGGUACUCUCAUAAGAGUGAUUUCAAUAUUCUCUUCCUGUCUUAUGAAGAAAUGAAAAAGGAUCUGAGAAGUUCUGUACUGAAAAUAUGCAACUUCCUAGGGAAAAAACUAACUGAAAAGGAGGUGGAUGAUGUGGUGGAUAAAGCUACAUUUGAUAACAUGAAAGCGGAUCCUAGAGCAAACUACACAUUCAUGUCUCCUGAUAUGCUACAUCCUAGCAAAGGAAACUUUCUUCGCAAAGGUAGAU